rnacentral:lncRNA from 1 species
CUGCUAUUAAAGCAAAACAGGAGGAUAUAUACUUUAGCCAUGAAAUUAGCGCAUAAUGUUAUCUAGCCAGUUGAACUUGCAUUGCUUUAGGGAAAUAUUAGCACACGUUUUCCACAAGUGGAUGUAGGCAGGAAAGAUUUAUAUUAGACAUCAGGAAUAAUGUCCUGACUUUCAGAAGAGUUGUGAGAAGCCAAAUAGUUUACCAAAGAAGGCUGUGGAAUUUACCUCCUGGAAAUUUUUAGCAGCAGACAUGAGACCCAUAUGUUUGAGACUAUUUCGGAGUCUUUGAAAUGAAUAGAAUGGUCUUAUUAAGAGUUUCCUAGUCCUUUUCUUUUGUAGCUUGCCUGAGAAGAGGUUAGACAUUCAGUCCACAAAGCCAGGCUUCUCUCCGACCUUCCCCUAUACAUUUCCGAAGACAGAGAAGAGGAAAAAGGAGGUAGAGUCUGGUAUGAGGGCACCAGGGAACAUUUCCUUACUUCACAAUUUGGUGAACUGAGUAGAACUGCCUGACAUCACACAGAGGGUAAACUUCUGCCUAGGGCCAUGGAAAAAGGCAAGAAGGUCCCGUGACCAAGAAAUGACCAGCUCCACAGAGGAAAUGCAGGGCCACUCUCCGACUGGACCCCACUGUGCACAAGCCUGCUCAAUGUGAAGAUGACGAGGAUGAAAACCUUUAUGAUGAUCUACUCCUAUUUAUGUGGACUUGCUCUGGAUUAGGGAUGAGAAGACCUGACUCUACUGUUUUCUUGAUAAGUGACCUUGAACCAGACACAUGUGCUCAAGUUCCAUAUCUGUAAAAUGAAGAUACCUGGCCUUCCUACUUCACAAGGUUCUUUUGAAGAUCAAAUGUAAUACUGCAUAAUAAAGUGACUCAUAAAUUCUUUUUUUUUUUUUUUUUGAGAUGAAUUCUCACUCUGUUGCCCAGGCUGUCAUGACCUGGUGCAAUUUCAACUCACUGCAACCUCCGCCUCCAGGGUUCAAGAGAUUCUCCUACCUCAGCCCCACCGAGUAGCUGGGAUUACAGGCAUGCACCACCACUCCCGGCUUUUUUAUUUUAUUUUUAUUUUUUGUAUUUUUUGUAUUUUUAGUAGAGAUGGGGUUUUGCCAUUUUGGUGAGGUUGGUCCUGAACUCCUGACCUCAAGUGACCUGCCCGUCUUGCCUCCCAAAGUGCUGGGAUUACAGGAGUGAGCCUCUGCACCUGGCCUGACCCAUAAAUUCUAAAGUACUAAGUGAUGUCCUCAUAUAUAGCACAGUCCCUCCAGCCCCUGCAAUUCAAAGAUACAUCUCACUGUACUUAGGAGAGUUAGAGUAGAGGCAUGACCUAACUUGUUAGCUGUUUAUCUCCUAUAGAAAGUGGUCAACAGAUCUUUGUUGGUAAAAUGAAUGAAUAUUCAUUUCUUAUCUUUCAAUGAGAAUGUGAUAACUUUGGUUAUUGAUGUAUACUUCCGUGCAAAUUUGCUCAUGCAAUUUCAACCACAUCCCCCAGAACAACUUUCUACCAUGCUAAUUGCUCCGAACAUUUAAAUACCAGCAUAGGAAUGGAAGCUACUGACUGUUAACAUUUCUCACAUUUAGUUGCUGAAUGCCUCUCACAUUUACUUACUGAAUGUGUGCUUUAGACCAUCUUAAAAAUAUAAUAGUAUGUCUGAUAAAGAGGCCCAUCAGUCCUCAAAAUGUCUUCAUCUUUUAGUGUUGAAACAAUAAUGAUGAUUUGCUUCAUUUGUGCUCUACACACCAAUGAGAUGAGCUAACUGCAUAUCUACUAUGAAAUAAUGUCUAUUAUUACAUGGAUAACUACCCAUUAACUCCAUUGGAAACACUGGUAAUUACACAGUAUGUUACGUUAAUGCACCUGUGUUAGCUUCUGAUUGCCAUAUUAUUAAUUCAAGUGACCUCUUGAAUUAAUUCAAGUUUCCCAUCAUCAUUUUCUUAUUCUGGAACUCUCUAACACUUUAGAGACUGUUGGCUAAACAAUAAAAGUAUACAGUGAAAACUAUUUUCAAAAAAAAGAGGAUCUGAUGUGUGAUCCCAUUGAUGUUUGUUGUUGUUUUUCACUUCUUUGCUUGACAUAUAUAAACAACUUUAGAGCUAUAUUCUGUUACCUUCUGUGCAAAAUUAGAACAAUUUUCACUUUGUGAAGAGUUGCAGAAAGAUUUGACCUUUAAAAACUCUGAAACACGUCUGGUUCACAAACAGAAUCACAUCUUAAAAGCCCUAAGUUUGCUCUAAAAGUGUCAAUCAAGUUUUCAGCACACUAACACACGUAAUAAUGAAAGGCUUGUAUUUGCUCCUAAAACCCAAGUUGCCUCCCAGUCACUCUGCAUCUGGUUACACCAAACUUAACUUUUCUACAGUCCAUCUAGUCCUGACCUUCCCCUCUUCUUACGAGCCCCCAUUUAACCAAAGCAACUCCAGCCCAGGAGAUGAAAACCCCAUCAGCAUUUUCAUAGUUAAUGACAGGGCUACAAAACAGAAAAUAACAGCGGGAAUCUGAAGCCAGUGCUUUUAUUGGACUAACUAACGAUAUAAAUAAAAUGGUCCCUGACUGAGCUUUGGAGAAUCACUGUCUCUUUAUCAGGCCAUAGAAAACAGAUCCAGGAGGGCAAUAAAUACAGCACAUAACAGAGUGGAAUUAAAUGAUUAGGCCUGAAUUAACACCCUGUUUCUGAGCCUCACUUAGUGUUCCAUGGCCCCAAUGAAACACUGCAAUUCACAAAUGCUCAAGGCCCAUUUAAUUUUUAUUUCAAGCUAGUUCAGAAGAAGGGAUUACCUAUAACUCCCCCCUAUUCCAUUGUGUAACUCUCGAAGUAACAACACUGAUCCUGUCUAGAUAGCUGUUAGGAAAAUAGGCUGUGCUAUAGGAAACACAGAGUCUAUUCAGAAUCCUGCCUCUACAAAAAUCACAUUAAUUCAAAGGGACCAAAUCCCUCUCUGUGAAAGUGACAAGGCUGUCCUUGAUGGGAAAAUAAUGAAUUAUUAGUUAAAUAAACUUGAUUAUUUUCCAUGACAUUAACAACAAACCUAUGCAACUGUCAGCCCAAGAUUUUUACUUUUUGAACUGUGGCUUUAGCAUGCCAAAGAUCCUAAUCAAGUCUUAACUGCAAAAUGGAAUUGAAUCUCACCUUGGAGGGUAAUCUAUGGAGGCCCAUCCCCCAUUACACCAUAUGUCACAGGAUAAGGUGGAUGAGUUUCACUUAAACCCUGUUGGCGGGGAGUUAAUAUUGUUCUAUACGUCUUCAUUUAUACAAUGGCUUUAGAGCAAGAAAUCCAAGGAUGGCAUAAGAGGAAGGCUUCACUGUAGCAGUGAAGUACUUAGAAAUUUUAGACGAAAUAUGCAGCAGAUGAAACUGAGUCAUUAAAACCACUUGUAUACCUGUGACUUGAAGUGAUGUAUGAGAUGGAGAUAUAUUUAGAAGGCAAGGUCCUCAAGAGGUAAGAGAGCUUGCAGUUUUGAGCACUUAGUAGAUGCUGUGUGCUGGUUUUUAUUUUUCCUCAUUUAAUCCUCACACUGUCCUAUAAAGUUGACAUAAUUAUUCCUGUUUACAAGUAAGGAAACUGACCCUCAAAGAGGAGUGUAAUAAUUGCCCAAGUUCACACAGGAAGUGGUAAGGCUGAGAUUCAAAUCCAGAUCUAGCUGAUUCCAAAGCCAGCCCUUUCCGUCAAUACUAUGACUGUCACCUGCUUAGAACUCCUGACUGCUGCCUGGAGCUUUUACUUGGGAUCUUCUAGAAUAACCAAAGAAACAACACACAGAAGAGGAUGAGACUAAUGAAGUAUAGUCUCAAACAGUAGGAAAAAACCCCAAGGGCUUUGGCACUGGAUGAGAUUAACUCUUAUAAAGCCCCAGGAGAUCCAGACAUUCAGUGAAUUAAGGAGCCCUCCUCUGAAAUUAAAUGAACCUGCCUGUCCAAAACUGCUUCCGAGUGUCAGCCAUGGCGUACAUGGGGUCCAGACUCUAUCAUCACCCUGAAAGGGCACCUUGAGCCUUGACUGAAGUAGAGCAGGGAGGAUUCUUCCACAUUUUCAAGAGUAUGAGGUUUGACCACACCCAAGUUUACCCUACCAGUCGGUUCAGCAUAGCGUGUAGCUGUGUAUGGGACAGAAAGGGACACCUAUUAGAUGGAACCUUCUGCCCCAACACUUUUGUACUACAAAAUAACUGUAAUUGUGGCUCAAAUUUAUGCUUAAGUAACUUCAGUGAAACAAUAACACACACAUAACUCUCAGAAAGCAAUCUUACUCAAAAGGCUUGGGCACUGAUACAUUGUGAAGAAAUUACACAAUAUGAAUUUUUUUUAAAAAGGUAAUCACUAGAAAGUUUACAGAUGAUAGAUUCAUGUUAGCAAAAGAGUGUUAAGUAUCUGUUGAAUUACAACUAGACACUUAUGGAAAGUGUCUAAUUUCACUUUCUCUGCACUAUCUUUCUGUAUUACCAGUACCCAAUAAAUUAAAUGCUUUUGACAUUCAAUCAAUAUUACAUGGUAAUAAUCACAUCUUUUCAUUAAAAAGGAUAAAUUCCUUAAAAUUUUAUGUUUUAAGAAAAGGUCUUUGUUUACCAAAAGGGAUAGCAAAAUGAUUUAAGUGAGUUUAAUUUGAAUUAUUAAUUUUUUGUUCCUCGGCCAGCAGUUCUUCAGCAAAGGUCUAGAUUAUGGUGAUUGUUCUUGGUUGUGGUUUUUUAACAGUAAUGACAAGGCCCUUGAUAUCCUCUGGCCUUGACUUAGACACAAUUGCAGGCCUCCUUUUCACCUUUAGUUUUAGUAUUAAGGAAAAUCUAUCUCACUGUCAGGAAUAAAAGCCAGACUAUGUCUUUGAAUUUGAGUCCUUGUCUACUUGACUCCACAGCAAGCCAUAGUUUUAAGCAGCUUUUUUGGGAGAUAGGACCACGUGAAGCAUCUGCCAUGCCCAUUUGCUUAUUUAAGUACUUGUUUUUGUAUUUUGAAAGCAUAACUUCAGUUUAAAAAAUCCACAUAAAAAUGGGGUAAAACUUGGAACAAAAUUAUGGACUACCAGAGGUUUUCACUUACAACUGGCUACAGAAGCAGAGUGCAAUGCAAUCACAAAGAAUUAUUCCUUUAAAAUUGUGAGGUAUCACAUCUGCAUUUUUGAGUGAAUAGCUGACUAUGAUAAAGAGACCAGUUUUACCUUUGUAAAGCUGUAUGUCUCUUCCACGAAGUAGUUCUUUCAUCUAACAUGCGGAUUGCAAUAACUUACAG